GACGAACGCUGGCGGCGUGCUUAACACAUGCAAGUCGAACGGAAAGGCCCUGCUUUUGUGGGGUGCUCGAGUGGCGAACGGGUGAGUAACACGUGAGUAACCUGCCCUUGACUUUGGGAUAACUUCAGGAAACUGGGGCUAAUACCGGAUAGGAGCUCCUGCUGCAUGGUGGGGGUUGGAAAGUUUCGGCGGUUGGGGAUGGACUCGCGGCUUAUCAGCUUGUUGGUGGGGUAGUGGCUUACCAAGGCUUUGACGGGUAGCCGGCCUGAGAGGGUGACCGGCCACAUUGGGACUGAGAUACGGCCCAGACUCCUACGGGAGGCAGCAGUGGGGAAUAUUGCACAAUGGGCGGAAGCCUGAUGCAGCAACGCCGUGUGCGGGAGGACGGCCUUCGGGUUGUAAACCGCUUUCGCUCAUGACGAAGCUUUGUGUGACGGUAGUGGGUAAAGAAGCACCGGCUAACUACGUG
rnacentral:rRNA from 1 species